UGGGGAAUUUUGGACAAUGGGCGAAAGCCUGAUCCAGCAAUGCCGCGUGUGUGAAGAAGGCCUUCGGGUUGUAAAGCACUUUUGUCCGGAAAGAAAUCCUUGGCUCUAAUACAGUCGGGGGGAUGACGGUACCGGAAGAAUAAGCACCGGCUAACUACGUGCCAGCAGCCGCGGUAAUACGUGGGGUGCAAGCGUUAAUCGGAAUUACUGGGCGUAAAGCGUGCGCAGGCGGUUUGCUAAGACCGAUGUGAAAUCCCCGGGCUCAACCUGGGAACUGCAUUGGUGACUGGCAGGCUAGAGUAUGGCAGAGGGGGGUAGAAUUCCACGUGUAGCAGUGAAAUGCGUAGAGAUGUGGAGGAAUACCGAUGGCGAAGGCAGCCCCCUGGGCCAAUACUGACGCUCAUGCACGAAAGCGUGGGGGAGCAAAACAGGAUUAGAUACCCCUGGUAGUCCACGCCCUAAACGAUGUCAACUAGUUGUUGGGGGAUUCAUUUCCUUAGUAACGUAGCUAACGCGUGAAGUUGACCGCCUGGGGAGUACGGUCGCAAGAUUAAAACUCAAAGGAAUUGACGGGGUCAUAGCUG
rnacentral:rRNA from 1 species